CACGUAGGGCGCGAGCGUUGUCCGGAUUUACUGGGCGUAAAGGGCGUGCAGGCGGUCUGUUAAGUUCAGGGUGAAAGCUCCCGGCUCAACUGGGAGAGGUCCUUGGAUACUGGCAGACUUGAGGGAGGUAGAGGAGAGUGGAAUUCCCGGUGUAGUGGUGAUAUGCGUAGAUAUCGGGAGGAACACCAGUGGCGAAGGCGGCUCUCUGGGCCUUUCCUGACGCUGAGACGCGAAAGCGUGGGGAGCGAACCGG
rnacentral:rRNA from 1 species